rnacentral:lncRNA from 1 species
GUGGUUUUUUCCCGAAAGGGUUUUUCCACGUUAAAUCCUUGUGUUCUCAUUUCUACUUUUCUCCUCAUAUUUCCUUUCUUUAUUGUCGAUAUAAUUGUAACAAGUGGUAUCAGAGCCAAGUUUAUUAGCUCAAAGUUAUAUCGACAUGUCUUUAUUGAAAUAUGAUUUACCACUCUUGGAUCGAGACACAAGAUUUACUUUAUGGCAAGUAAAGAU